rnacentral:rRNA from 1 species
GACGAACGCUGGCGGCGUGCUUAACACAUGCAAGUCGAGCGGUAAGGCCCUUUCGGGGGUACACGAGCGGCGAACGGGUGAGUAACACGUGGGUGACCUGCCCUCAGCUCUGGGAUAAGCCUGGGAAACUGGGUCUAAUACUGGAUAUGACUCCACGGUGCAUGUCGUGGGGUGGAAAGCCUUGUGCGGCUGAGGAUGGGCCCGCGGCCUAUCAGCUUUGUU